rnacentral:rRNA from 1 species
UUCCGUAGGGUGAACCUGCGGAGGGAUCAUUGCUGGAACGCGCUUCGGCGCACCCAGAAACCCUUUGUGAACUUAUACCUAUUGUUGCCUCGGCGUAGGCCGGCCUCUUCACUGAGGCCCCCUGGAAACAGGGAGCAGCCCGCCGGCGGCCAACCAAACUCUUGUUUCUACAGUGAAUCUCUGAGUAAAAAAACAUAAAUGAAUCAAAACUUUCAACAACGGAUCUCUUGGUUCUGGCAUCGAUGAAGAACGCAGCGAAAUGCGAUAAGUAAUGUGAAUUGCAGAAUUCAGUGAAUCAUCGAAUCUUUGAACGCACAUUGCGCCCUCUGGUAUUCCGGAGGGCAUGCCUGUUCGAGCGUCAUUUCAACCCUCAAGCCUGGCUUGGUGAUGGGGCACUGCUUUCGUCCAGAAAGCAGGCCCUGAAAUCUAGUGGCGAGCUCGCCAGGACCCCGAGCGUAGUAGUUAUAUCUCGCUCUGGAAGGCCCUGGCGGUGCCCUGCCGUUAAACCCCCAACUUCUGAAAAUUGACCUCGGAUCAGGUAG